GUGGCAGUAGCCCAGCGAUAGAGCCUUCGUCUGAUAUUCGAAGAGAUCCGGGUUCAACUCCCGGCUGCUUCU
rnacentral:tRNA from 1 species